rnacentral:rRNA from 1 species
GACGAACGCUGGCGGCGUGCUUAACACAUGCAAGUCGAACGGAAAGGCCCUGCUUUUGUGGGGUGCUCGAGUGGCGAACGGGUGAGUAACACGUGAGUAACCUGCCCUUGACUUUGGGAUAACUUCAGGAAACUGGGGCUAAUACCGGAUAGGAGCUCCUGCUGCAUGGUGGGGGUUGGAAAGUUUCGGCGGUUGGGGAUGGACUCGCGGCUUAUCAGCUUGUUGGUGGGGUAGUGGCUUACCAAGGCUUCGACGGGUAGCCGGCCUGAGAGGGUGACCGGCCACAUUGGGACUGAGAUACGGCCCAGACUCCUACGGGAGGCAGCAGGGGGGAAUAUUGCACAAUGGGCGGAAGCCUGAUGCAGCAACGCCGCGUGCGGGAUGACGGCCUUCGGGUUGUAAACCGCUGUCGCCUGUGACGAAGCGUGAGUGACGGUAAUGGGUAAAGAAGCACCGGCUAACUACGUG